GUAGGGUGAACCUGCGGAAGGAUCAUUA
rnacentral:rRNA from 5 species